rnacentral:misc_RNA from 1 species
AACGCAUAUGGCACCCGAGACUUCGGUCGAGGGUAUAUCUGUCUCAGAGUCGACGUAAAAAACAUCCCCACGGAAGACCGCCUUGGCGGGCUUCCGUCGGGGGAGCUGGCCCCCCCGGGGACCCGGGUCCUCGCGACCUCGGGAGCCUCCGGGUCGGCUGAAGGCGAGAGACGGGGGACCGCAUGCGCCGGGCAGCCACGAUUUUGGUGGGAGGACCUCGCGUCCGCAUCACUGAUCGGGCCACCCAACCAAGCAGAGGUAAAUACCCCGCCAGUGCAGGAUUUUCACUCGACUAAUCCGACCUGAGAUCAGGUAAGAUCACCCGCUGAACUUAA